CGUACACUCAUAAUAAUGAUUUUGUUAAGGUUGGCAAAUGUCCGAGUCCGUUAAAAAAAAUCCAAUAAAUCCAUUAGAAAAAACAAACGAACUUUGCAAAGACGAAAACAAAAUGAAACUACAGUUGCUUGCUUCACUACCUUCAGAACAAAGGGAACAGUUUGAAAGUCCUAAAUUCUAAAAUAUGUCAAAAAUUAACUUAUAGAUUUUGUUACCAUUGUCAGACAAGAAUUUAAAUAGGUCUUGUACAGUUUUGAUGAAAUAUGAAAGAUGAUUUAGGCGUUAUGCAUGUUCUGUACCCGUCAAAUUCUGAUAUGGGAAAUAUUACUUAUUGUUCUACAGACGUCGGUAAAUAUUUCAUAAUUGAAAACCGCACCUUCUGAAAGACGUUUGUAUACAAAAAAAAGGAAAUAGGAUAUGAUUGCCAACGGGACAAUUAUCUACUUAAGCUCAAAUGAAGUGCAUGGAUUAAACUAAUAAUAUGCAACCGUAAUACCUUCAACAAUUAGAAAAACUCAUACCGUAUAAUCGGCUUAAAUUGUCCCGCUUGAUGAUUAUACAUUGUUGUUUCUUAAAAAUAAAUGAAUGAACGUCUUUAUUCUAAAGAAGGUACAAUAUCAUGAAAAAAUUGUGAAAACCCCUUCAGAUAUUUGACAAACCAUAAGUCUUCGCCUUUUUGUACGAACUCAAAAUUCAAGCAUCACACAUUUUUCUUUUACUUUCUAUACGAAAGUUGCUGCCCUCAUAAAUAUUAGCACCGGAUGUUAUCGACCGCUAGCCUUACACUAGUAAGUCUGUCGUAUGGGUAAUUGUGUUUUCAUUGUUGUUUUGUUGCAGUCUGGUGGACGAAUACCUGAAAUCUCCGUGUCAAACACCAAACUUUUAAAUGUCUAUAUAUUGGGUAAUUCAAACAUUUGUUUCUUCGCAUAGAAACAAGUCUUUGUUAAUCUGAGCAUGGAACGAAUACUUUAUAUAACGAACUAUAAACGUGGAUACAUAAAAUGAAAAACUUAGCUAAAAUGUUAAUCCCGCAUUGCACGAACAAAUGUGUUGUAUUUCAGGAAAUAACACGUGUUCUUUGUUGAUUGUAAACACGUAGUAGUCCAUCAUGCAUUGCUACUCAGUUAAUGGAUUGGUCAAAAACCCAGGUAAACAUAAAUUGCGUCACACGUAAAUAAACAGUUACAUGUGCGAGAACAUAAGUAUGCUAAUUCAUGCAUUUCCAUAUAUGGUAGAGUUCCCGACCUGUUGAAACUUUUGCUUACUUUACAUGUAUUAGUUUGUCAUAUUAAGGGGAACCGUAAGUAGUAAGUCAAUUCUAAGUGGUAUGCAGUUGUAUAAGUUUGUGCAUAUCUCAAAUCAAGACAAAAUAUUGGUCGUUAUCGCUAAGACAUGAUCCUUUGACUUUGAAUCUUUUUCUUUGUAUACAUUUAUUAGUUUGUGAUUAAGUUAUUUUAAGAUAAAUGUUUAGCACUGUAAAAAGUAAAAUCACAAAAAUACUGAACUAAGAGGAAAUUUUAAUCGGAAAGUCCAUAAUCACAUGGCAAAAUCAAAUAACAAAACACAUAAAAAAUGAAUGGACAAGAACCGUUAUAUUCCUGACUUGGUACAGGCAUUGUCAAAUGUAGAAAAUGAUUGAUUAAACCUGGUUUUAUAGCGCUAACCCUCUCACUUUGAUGACAGUCUCAUUAAAUUCCGUUAUAUUUACAAUGAUGCGUGAACUAAACAGACAUAAUAAAUAAAAUAGUCAAAAUAUGGGUACAGCAGUCAUCAUCGCGUAACAAUUUUAAAAGAAACAAUUUAACAGGACACAAAAACAUCUAUCUACAAACACAUUCAUUGAUACUUUUGUCUGACGUCAGAAAAUUAUAUACGUCACAAACGUUUGUCGUUAAAUGUAUAUACAAAAAAAUUUAAAUCCACAUAGGCAAUGUUAGCAUACAGGGUUAAAAAAUCAAAAGUAUGUAAGAAUCAAUUUCAGAAAUAGACCAAGAUUUUAAAUAGUCCAAAAGUUAUAAAGAAUUUAUAGGAAUCCACAAAUAGUUAAUUACAUUGCGCGAUUAAAUAAUUUUGACGUUUUUGGAUCAAUGUAUUUUGUAAUUCAUACUAAAAAUUUAUCAUAAUGACAUGAAAUAGAACAAUAUCAUACUGACGGGAUCUUUUUAAAGGUACAGAGUCACGUUAUAAGAACCAUGAACUUUAUUGCAGCUACAACAAUUGUAAUAUAUCAUGGUCAUUUGUGACACAGAUAUUUCAUAACCGUCAACAAAUAUUAAUUGUAUUAAUAUAAUGAAAAUUAUGUAGUCAUAUCUUCAUUUUUUCACGCUAACAAAUUAUUUUACUUUCUUUUUUUUUUUUUUUUAAAGUCAUGAUUUUACAUACUCCGAACACUACCACCUGACAAGGGGUAAAUACAGAAAAAAAGCAUGCAAUAUACAACAUGUAUCUUUGAGUAUUUAAUUUUUAACAGUAUGAAUAUUUUACAUAUGAUGUGUAUUUGAAUUAUCUAUAACUCUCUCUCUCUAGUUAAUCUAAUCUUCCUGCGAGUCCUCAAAAUAAUAAUAACAUAUUGUAUAAGUACAUACAGUAUUAUAAUGAUAUAGUAUAUAGUAUACAUAAUAUACAAUUGUAUCUAAAUAAUAAUGAAAAAGCAUUUUAAUUCGCA
rnacentral:lncRNA from 1 species